UUUCCGGUUGAUCCUGCCGCCGGCCACCGCUAUCAAGUUCCGACUAAGCCAUGCGAGUCAAGGUAUCGUAAGAUGCCGGCAAACUGCUCAGUAACACGUGGAUAAUCUAACCUUGAGUAAGGGAUAACCUCGGGAAACUGAGGAUAAUACCUUAUAAUUGCUUAAAACUGGAAUGUUUAAGCAAUAAAAGUUCCGACGCUCAAGGAUGAGUCUGCGACCUAUCAGGUAGUAGGUGGUGUAAUGGACCACCUAGCCUCAGACGGGUACGGGCCCUGGGAGGGGUAGCCCGGAGAUGGACUCUGAGACAUCAGUCCAGGCCCUACGGGGCGCAGCAGGCGCGAACACUGUGCAAUGCGCGAAAGCGCGACACGGGGAGCUUGAGUGUCUUGGCAUAGCCAAGACUUUUCUCAUUCCUAAAAAGCAUGAGGAAUAAGUGCUGGGUAAGACGGGUGCCAGCCGCCGCGGUAACACCCGCAGCACAAGUGGUGGUCACUUUUAUUGAGCCUAAAGCGUUCGUAGCCGGUUUUGUAAAUCUUUAGAUAAAGCCUGAAGCUUAACUCCAGAAAGUCUGAAGAGACUGCAAGACUUGAGAUCGGGUGAGGUUAAACGUACUUUCAGGGUAGGGGUAAAAUCCUGUAAUCCCGGAAGGACGACCAGUGGCGAAAGCGUUUAACUCGAACGAAUCUGACGGUAAGGAACGAAGGCUAGGGUAGCAAACCGGAUUAGAUACCCGGGUAGUCCUAGCUGUAAACACUGCCCAUUUGAUGUUGCUUUUCCGUUGAGGGAAGGCAGUGUCGGAGCGAAGGUGUUAAAUGGGCCGCUUGGGAAGUAUGGUCGCAAGACUGAAACUUAAAGGAAUUGGCGGGGGAGCACCGCAACGGGAGGAAUGUGCGGUUUAAUUGGAUUCAACGCCGGA
rnacentral:rRNA from 1 species